GAAGAUGGAACACAUUAAAAUUAAGAGUUGCACAAGUUGUAGCUGAAGGGACCAUUGAAAUACUUUGAUAGGUUCUGGAGCUUUAAGUUAAAACAGGACCAGUAUAAUGAGAUCCACAACCCAUCACAAACACUGGCAAUGCUACUUCAAAUGGCUUCACUUCACUGAUGUCAGCAAGGACUUUGUAUACACAAAUAUGGAGAUUGCAAUCUUGAUCCUGGAAACACUGGAACCUUGAAAUGGUAAAACUGGCUUCUUGUGUUCGGUACAGCUUAAUCCAAUUACAGAUGAGUGAAAGAAAUUAGUUACUUUGAUGAAGUUUGGACCAGUCACUUCUUCAUCUGAUUGAAUAUCUGUUCACCCUUGUGUGUCCAAGGACAGCAACAAGUCUUUCUCUCUGUGAGUGUUUUCAUCAGGAUGUCUUGUGGUUGCAAGAAUACAUGGUGCUAGGGAUUUGUGCCAGUGAGUCUCUUUGCUUGAGUCUCCCAUGUACUUCAUCUGCUUGCUUUUACAGACCCUGCUUCUCCCCAGUGUUUUUCUCUCCCUACACGUUACCUGACAGCUGAGUGUUACUCUCAGGUUGAACUGAGACAGUCUCUGGUCUGUUUCCUGCUAUGAUGUUUUGCAUCAACAUCUG